rnacentral:rRNA from 1 species
CCUACGGGAGGCAGCAGUGGGGAAUAUUGCACAAUGGGGGAAACCCUGAUGCAGCGACGCCGCGUGAGUGAGGAAGUAUUUCGGUAUGUAAAGCUCUAUCAGCAGGGAAGAAAAUGACGGUACCUGACUAAGAAGCCCCGGCUAACUACGUGCCAGCAGCCGCGGUAAUACGUAGGGGGCAAGCGUUAUCCGGAAUUACUGGGUGUAAAGGGAGCGUAGACGGUGAUGCAAGUCCGGAGUGAAAGGCGGGGGCCCAACCCCCGGACUGCUCUGGAAACUGUGUAACUUGAGUGCAGGAGAGGUAA